rnacentral:rRNA from 1 species
UACGGAGGGUGCAAGCGUUAUCCGGAUUCACUGGGUUUAAAGGGUGCGUAGGAGGGUUGGUAAGUCAGUGGUGAAAUCUCCGAGCUUAACUUGGAAACUGCCGUUGAUACUAUCAAUCUUGAAUAUCGUGGAGGUGAGCGGAAUAUGUCAUGUAGCGGUGAAAUGCUUAGAUAUGACAUAGAACACCAAUUGCGAAGGCAGCUCGCUACACGAAUAUUGACUCUGAGGCACGAAGGCGUGGGGAUCAAACAGG